AAGAAGAACGAACCGUAUAUAAGUGGCUGCAAAAUGGGGUUCACUUUCAAUUGAAGUCGCGAGCCGGUCCGGUGCAGAUGGUAUUUAUCAUGCAUGUAUGCUAGCAAGAAGUAGAAAAAGCGAUAUAUAAAGGGCAGUUCAUUGCAGUUGUGUUUUAGCUAAAGUCGCGAGGCGGUCCAGUGCAGAUGAUCAUGUGUGUAGGCCAGCAAGAAGAAGAGCCAGCAGAAUAAAUAAGGCUGCCCAUCGAGGCAGGUUGGCAGUUGAAGCUGCCAUGCGGCCAAUGGCAGAAGCUUUUAAAACAGCCGUUUAAUUUAAUUCAUAUAAAACGUUCGUCUGAUAUAUUUGAAUGUUGAUUGAAUUGAAUUAAAGAGUACAAUGAUUUAGAA